GGCGACUCAAACCAGGCGUCACACAAUCUGUUGACGGUGAUCCUGGGAAGUGUUGUUGUUUUUCUUCUAGUGGUCAUCUUUGGUUUAAUUCUCAAAAUCACGACCUCUCACACCGGUCAAGCUAGCAGACAGAGUCAACAACAAAGAGAGAACUUGAACUCGGAGGCUGUAAGCUAUUCAGCGCUGAAUUUCAGAUCCAAAGCAAAAGGCGACAGGCGGCCCGCUGCAGAGAGAGAGACGGAGGCAAAUGUGAUUUAUUCUGCCACCAGAUAAACUCUCUGACCAGGAAUGAUGUAGUUUUAUCAUUUUAUCUUCUAUUUCUGGGGAUUUUUCUCUCUUCUAAAAAGCUGAAAUAAAAGUUUUGGUUUUUACAAAGACAAGCUUUGACCAAUCCUCAUCUUUAGAAGCAGAAAGCUGCUUUCUGUUUU